AAUGAGACUUCCCCGAUCCUAACUAUAACGGGGGCUGCGGUAGUAGGAGUGAUUCGCAGCGGAAGCACCGCUCUGGCUGAAAAAGGCCGGAGGGGGCAUUC
rnacentral:sRNA from 1 species